UGGGGAAUAUUGCACAAUGGGCGCAAGCCUGAUGCAGCCAUGCCGCGUGUAUGAAGAAGGCCUUCGGGUUGUAAAGUACUUUCAGCGGGGAGGAAGGCGAUGCGGUUAAUAACCGCGUCGAUUGACGUUACCCGCAGAAGAAGCACCGGCUAACUCCGUGCCAGCAGCCGCGGUAAUACGGAGGGUGCAAGCGUUAAUCGGAAUUACUGGGCGUAAAGCGCACGCAGGCGGUCUGUCAAGUCGGAUGUGAAAUCCCCGGGUUCAACCUGGGAACUGCAUCCGAAACUGGCAGGCUUGAGUCUCGUAGAGGGGGGUAGAAUUCCAGGUGUAGCGGUGAAAUGCGUAGAGAUCUGGAGGAAUACCGGUGGCGAAGGCGGCCCCCUGGACGAAGACUGACGCUCAGGUGCGAAAGCGUGGGGAGCAAACA
rnacentral:rRNA from 1 species